CCUACGGGAGGCUGCAGUAGGGAAUAUUGCUCAAUGGGGGAAACCCUGAAGCAGCAACGCCGCGUGGAGGAUGAAGGUUUUCGGAUCGUAAACUCCUUUUGUUAGAGAAGAUAAUGACGGUAUCUAACGAAUAAGCACCGGCUAACUCCGUGCCAGCAGCCGCGGUAAUACGGAGGGUGCAAGCGUUACUCGGAAUCACUGGGCGUAAAGAGCGCGUAGGCGGGAUAGCAAGUCAGAUGUGAAAUCCUAUGGCUUAACCAUAGAACUGCAUUUGAAACUGUUAUUCUAGAGUAUGGGAGAGGUAGGUGGAAUUCUUGGGGUAGGGGUAAAAUCCGUAGAGAUCAAGAGGAAUACUCAUUGCGAAGGCGACCUGCUAGAACAUAACUGACGCUGAUGCGCGAAAGCGUGGGGAGCAAACAGGAUUAGAUACCCGAGUAGUC
rnacentral:rRNA from 1 species